GACAGAGGUGCCGAGCGUUAGGCGGAAUCACUGGGCUUAAAGCGUGUGUAGGCGGAUGCCUAAGUACCUUGUGAAAUCCCACGGCUCAACCGUGGAACUGCUUGGUAUACUGGGCGUCUUGAGCCACUUAGGGGCAACCGGAACAAACGGGGAGCGGUGAAAUGCGUAGAUAUCGUUUGGAACGCCAAUGGUGAAAACAGGUUGCUGGGAGUGUGCUGACGCUGAGACACGAAAGCCAGGGGAGCAAGCGGG
rnacentral:rRNA from 1 species